UACGUAGGGUGCGAGCGUUAAUCGGAAUUACUGGGCGUAAAGGGUGCGCAGGCGGUUAUAUAAGACAGAUGUGAAAUCCCCGGGCUCAACCUGGGAACUGCGUUUGUGACUGUAUGACUAGAGUCCGGAAGAGGCGAGUGGAAUUCCUGGUGUAGCGGUGAAAUGCGCAGAUAUCAGGAGGAACACCAAUGGCGAAGGCAGCUCGCUGGGACGGUACUGACGCUGAGACGCGAAAGCGUGGGGAGCAAACAGG
rnacentral:rRNA from 1 species